rnacentral:lncRNA from 1 species
GCAAGACACACAUGCUGUGUACAAACCGAAGACCCGAACACAUAAAAAUUUAAUUAAAAAUAAACUAGAAAGAAUAAAAAUGGACCAAACUGAAGGGAAAGAAACUCUAAUGAAUAGAGCACACAUAAACACAACAGACCAGAAAACAGGAGAGAAAACCAGCAACAAAGUCAAAAGUUUGUCCUUUGCCAAGUAUGUCAGCAUUUGGGGGGAUAAGCGGAAUUACAGAAUUGAGUCCUGCCUGGUUUAUCUAGGAAGUUCUAAACCAAUGUGGAUUACAUACAGUUUAAAAGCUGGCUCCUAGAGAAGACCAAUAAAAUUGAAAAACUUAUUCCUAGAUUGGCUAAAUAAUAACUUGAAUCAGAAGUGGAAAAGUCACAUCACUCCUGACUUCAUGAAAAGAAAAGAAAAAGAAAGAAAUGCCACAAGCAGUUGUCAACUUAUAUUCUAAAUGAAACGAACAGAUUCCUAGAAAUAUAUACUGUCAAGACUGGCUCAGAAUUAAACAGAGGAAAACAAGAACCCUGAUAGAAGUCUUUUGAGUUAAGAAAGGCUCGGAGCCAGAUGCCUUUUCCAGUAAAGUGGAGUGAGGCCCCUGCUUAUGAAGCUUCCUCACCUCCAUGGGGCAGCGUUAUACUGAUACCAAAGCCACAGACCCAGGAAGGAAAAUGAGCUGGCACACUAUUAUCCAUUUUGAAUAUCAAUACAAAAAAAUGACCUAUAAAAUGCUAGCUCACUGAAGACAGCAGUAUAAGGAUUAAACAUUAUGACCAAGAAAGUUUGUCCCAGAAAUACGAAAAUGGCUUAACAUAGGAAAAUUGAUCAAUGUAGCUUACUUUACCACAGUAAUAAUGUGAAGGAAAAGCAGAAAACAAAAAACCCCACAAACUCACUAAACUGAUUCAAGGUAGUUGAGGGGCAUUUAACAAAAAUCUACUACUUCUGCCAGAUGUGGGGCACAGACCUUUAAUCCUAGCCCUUGCAAAACAGAGGCAGGCAGCUUGGUUUAUAUAGCAAGUUUCAAACAAGCUGGGGCUCCAUUUUGAGACCCUGUCACUCGCCCGUUCCCAAAAAAGAAAAACACAAGCUAGUACCCUUUCCUGAUAAGAACAUUUAAGAAGGUUUAUGGGGCUAGAAAAAUGGCUGGGUGAUUGAAAGCAUUCACUUUUCUUCCACAGGACCUGAGUUCAGUUUCCAGAAUUCAUGCCAACUAUUUCACAAGUGCUUAUAACUCUGUCUUCAGGGGGUAUGAUCCUUCCACAGACACAUGUGCAUUUGUGAGCUUACACACUCAUAUACACAUAAAUAAAAAUAAAUCUUAAAAAAAAAACAAAACAAGUUGGGGCUGGUGAGAUGGCUCAGCAGGUAAGAGCACUGACUACUCUUCCAAAUGUCUUGAGUUCAAAUCCCAGCAACAACAUGGUGACUCACAACCACCUAUAAUGAGAUCUGACGCCCUCGUCUGGUGAGUCUGAAGACAGCUACAGUGUACCUAUUUAUAAUAAUAAAUAAAUCUUUUUUGGGGGUGGGGGAGACGGAGCGAGCAGAAGUCCUAAAAAUACAAUUCCCAAAAACCACUUGAAGGCUCACAACCAUCUGUUCAGCUACAGUGUACUCAUAUACAUAAAAUAAAUAAAUCUUUUUAG